rnacentral:rRNA from 1 species
GCUACAGGCUUAACACAUGCAAGUCGAGGGGCAGCAUGGUCUUAGCUUGCUAAGGCCGAUGGCGACCGGCGCACGGGUGAGUAACACGUAUCCAACCUGCCGUCUACUCUUGGACAGCCUUCUGAAAGGAAGAUUAAUACAAGAUGGCAUCAUGAGUCCGCAUGUUCACAUGAUUAAAGGUAUUCCGGUAGACGAUGGGGAUGCGUUCCAUUAGAUAGUAGGCGGGGUAACGGCCCACCUAGUCUUCGAUGGAUAGGGGUUCUGAGAGGAAGGUCCCCCACAUUGGAACUGAGACACGGUCCAAACUCCUACGGGAGGCAGCAGUGAGGAAUAUUGGUCAAUGGGCGAGAGCCUGAACCAGCCAAGUAGCGUGAAGGAUGACUGCCCUAUGGGUUGUAAACUUCUUUUAUAAAGGAAUAAAGUCGGGUAUGGAUACCCGUUUGCAUGUACUUUAUGAAUAAGGAUCGGCUAACUCCGUGCCAGCAGCCGCGGUAAUACGGAGGAUCCGAGCGUUAUCCGGAUUUAUUGGGUUUAAAGGGAGCGUAGAUGGAUGUUUAAGUCAGUUGUGAAAGUUUGCGGCUCAACCGUAAAAUUGCAGUUGAUACUGGAUAUCUUGAGUGCAGUUGAGGCAGGCGGAAUUCGUGGUGUAGCGGUGAAAUGCUUAGAUAUCACGAAGAACUCCGAUUGCGAAGGCAGCCUGCUAAGCUGCAACUGACAUUGAGGCUCGAAAGUGUGGGUAUCAAACAGGAUUAGAUACCCUGGUAGUCCACACGGUAAACGAUGAAUACUCGCUGUUUGUGAUAUACUGCAAGCGGCCAAGCGAAAGCGUUAAGUAUUCCACCUGGGGAGUACGCCGGCAACGGUGAAACUCAAAGGAAUUGACGGGGGCCCGCACAAGCGGAGGAACAUGUGGUUUAAUUCGAUGAUACGCGAGGAACCUUACCCGGGCUUAAAUUGCAGAUGAAUUACGGUGAAAGCCGUAAGCCGCAAGGCAUCUGUGAAGGUGCUGCAUGGUUGUCGUCAGCUCGUGCCGUGAGGUGUCGGCUUAAGUGCCAUAACGAGCGCAACCCUUGUUGUCAGUUACUAACAGGUUCCGCUGAGGACUCUGACAAGACUGCCAUCGUAAGAUGUGAGGAAGGUGGGGAUGACGUCAAAUCAGCACGGCCCUUACGUCCGGGGCUACACACGUGUUACAAUGGGGGGUACAGAGGGCCGCUACCACGCGAGUGGAUGCCAAUCCCCAAAACCUCUCUCAGUUCGGACUGGAGUCUGCAACCCGACUCCACGAAGCUGGAUUCGCUAGUAAUCGCGCAUCAGCCACGGCGCGGUGAAUACGUUCCCGGGCCUUGUACACACCGCCCGUCAAGCCAUGGGAGCCGGGGGUACCUGAAGUGCGUAACCGCGAGGAGCGCCCUAGGGUAAAACUGGUGACUGGGGCUAAGU